rnacentral:rRNA from 1 species
UACGUAGGGUGCAAGCGUUAUCCGGAAUUAUUGGGCGUAAAGAGCUCGUAGGCGGUUUGUCGCGUCUGCUGUGAAAACUCGAGGCUCAACCUCGAGACGUCGGUUGAAACCGUAUGGCUAGAGUCCGGAAGAGGAGAGUGGAAUUCCCGGUGUAGCGGUGAAAUGCGCAGAUAUCGGGAAGAACACCCGUGGCGAAGGCGGCUCUCUGGGACGGUACUGACGCUGAGACGCGAAAGCGUGGGGGAGCGAACAGG